UAUUAAUAUAAUUACUUUGUUAGAUUCUUUUGUUCACUCACUUUCCUUCAUGAACUGUACCAAGAUGAGACCUAAAAUUAUGUUAAAUGUCACUAUAUACUAUUAUAUAUUCCCAGGUUUGAUUGAUAUUUGUUUAAUUAACCUUAAUUAGUUGAUUUGUAGUUAGCAUCGGUGAGCAUUGUUUCAUUUUGUAGUCGCUUCCUUCUCGUAUAAAGGACGGCUUCUUGUAUAGUUUAUACAUACCUCAGAAUAUACAAAUCUUCUUUAUUUCUAUCUCCCUAUUAGUUUAUUUUAUUUAUUUAUUUAUUUUUUAAGGACCUUUAACAAAUCCCAGGCUUCCCCGUAUUAAUUUGGCGGAAAGAAUGUCCGUGACCUCCAUUUGCUCUGAUUCAACUAACAUCAUUCAUUUAUGGCUUCCACUAAGGAUGUUAAUAUUAGUCGUCCUAUUAAUAUUUUUUUAGAUGGCACCAAUUACAAUAUUUGGACCAAACAGAUGUCGAUUUUUUUUAUUGGUCGUAGAUUAUGGCGUUUUGUUACUGGUGACAAAACAUAGCCAACAAAAUCUGAGAGAGAAUCUUUGGAGGAGUUUGAUGAGCGUCUUGAGAUAUUGGAAUCAACUCAUUGUAAAAUUUUAUCCUGGUUCAUUAAUAUAUCUGUUCCUUCUAUUCAAAUCUUCUUUCCAAAUUUUGGAAUGCAAAACUUGCUUGGGGUUUUUUGGCAAAUCGAUGCAAUUGCUCUAGUGGUGCCACUCUCUAAUUUCAGGUAGAGACCAAGUUGUAUCAGUUGCAUUAAGAACCCGGUCGAUCCAUUGCUGAGUUUCACUCUCAAGUUAGUAGUAUGUGGAAUCAGCUCUCUUAUGCUGAUCCAUCUUUUCACGAUGAUAAAUCUAUUGAACUAUUCUCAAAGUAUCGGAAUCUCGAUAGUUCAUCCAUUUUACGAUGCAUAUUUGAGAAGACUUUGAGAAUGCUAUAGUUUCAUUGUUUUAUCGCUCUUUAAUACCAACUCGUGAUUUCGCUAUUACUGAGCUCAUUUUUUGGGAAACACGCCAGAAGACUCGUUGAAUUCAUUUUGAUCUGGUUAUGGCUACUACACCUAGUUCAGUUGUGGCUACUGCUCUUUCUAAACCAUGUUGUUUCAUUGGUCAAAUGUCACUAUUGUAAGGAAGAAGGUUAUUGAAUUUCUGAUUGUGCCAAGAAAAAGGUAAGAUGUGAGAAUGCUCAGAAAGCUAAGGCACAUACCUCUAUCCCCAGGAUUGUUGCUACUGCGUCUACCAAUUCAUCAGCUUCCCAGUCUUCCUCUGCUCUUGUUUUGUCAUCUCUUAUUGCAAUCGAUCUUGAGGCAAUUUUCCAUCAGGUUUUAUCUCGUACUACGAAGAUACUUUUGUUCCUGUUGCAUGUCUUACUUCUUUUAGAUCUUUACUUGUAGUUGUAGCUAUUCGACAAUGAAGCCUGUUUCAAAUGAAUGUGAAGAACGCAUUUCUUAACGGUGAUCAAGAUGAAGAAGUCUAUCUCAAACCACCUCCAGGAUUUGAGCACCUACCACAGAAGGAUUGCAGUCUUCGAAAGGCUCUUUAUGGUCUCAAGUAGUCUCCUAGAACUUGGUUUUAUAAGUUUAGUUCAGUAUUGGCUCAGCAAGGCUUCACUCCCAACACAUGACUCUAAUUUGUUUAUCCGUCGAUCCGAU
rnacentral:lncRNA from 1 species